rnacentral:rRNA from 1 species
ACUCCUACGGGAGGCAGCAGUGGGAAUAUUGCACAAUGGGCGCAAGCCUGAUGCAGCCAUGCCGCGUGUAUGAAGAAGGCCUUCGGGUUGUAAAGUACUUUCAGCAGUGAGGAAGGUGGAGUCGUUAAUAGCGGCCUCAUUUGACGUUAGCUGCAGAAGAAGCACCGGCUAACUCCGUGCCAGCAGCCGCGGUAAUACGUAGGGUGCGAGCGUUGUCCGGAAUUACUGGGCGUAAAGAGCUCGUAGGUGGUUUGUCGCGUUGUUCGUGAAAACCUGAGGCUUAACCUUGGGCGUGCGGGCGAUACGGGCAGACUGGAGUACUGCAGGGGAGACUGGAAUUCCUGGUGUAGCGGUGGAAUGCGCAGAUAUCAGGAGGAACACCGGUGGCGAAGGCGGGUCUCUGGGCAGUAACUGACGCUGAGGAGCGAAAGCGUGGGGAGCGAACAGGAUUAGAUACCCUGGUAGGCUCUG